ensembl:lncRNA
GUGGUCUCAUCACACAGAAUUUCCCAAGAUCAGAAUGAAACCGUGUCUUUAAAAAGAAAGAAAGUACUGUCGAUACAGAAAGCAAAAGUAUUUCCAGUCUCCUCUUGAAGAACUGUCACAGCAGAUCUCUCUACCUCCAUUUAGAGCCGUUAUAUCCCAAUAUUUGCCUGCAUGGGUGCUGCUUUUCUGAACAAAUGCCUCCUGAGGAUUUGUGCACCUGGGAAAUACCUGCCAACGGAUUGCCUUUACACCCUGUCUCUUCAGGACCUGUAGGGCAGCAUAGCUUCUGGGAUUCUGUGCAUGUUCCAUCAGACGAAGGAGCAACAUGAUUUCUCUUGGGCUGAAGAUGCCAUCCUUUCCUGCUACAGGUUGAGCGUCCCUUAUUGGAAAUGCUUGGGACCAGAAGUGUUUCAGAUUCUGCAUUUUCUUGGAUUUUGGAAUAUCUGCAUAUGGGUAAUGAGCUAUCUUCGGGAUGAGACCAAAGUCCAAAUACAAAAUAAACUUAGAGUUCUCAUACACCUAUAAUAUAGCCUAAAUAUAAUUUUAUACAACUAGUGCACCUGAGUUUUGACUACAACUAGUCAUAUGAGAGUAAGUAUGGAAUUUUCCAUUUAUGCUGUCAUGUUAUUGCUCAGAAAGUUUCAGAUUCUGGAGAUUGGGAUUUUGGACCAUGAGAUACAGAUUUUAGCAGCACUAAAGCAGAGCCAGUAAGAGAGAGAAAAGUCAUCAGGAUUUCACAGGGCUUGAUGAAGGCUGGGAAGAAGUACCAGUAUCUUCCCUACUCUGUUCUGUCCAGUAUGUUGGCCAUCCAUUGCAG